UUGUAAUUUGCAGAGGAUGCUUGGGGAGCGGCCCCCAUUUAAGUGCCCUGGAACGGGCCGUCAUAAAGGGUGAGAAUCCCGUCUGGGAUGGGGUGCCCGCGCCCGUGUGAAGCUCCUUCGACGAGUCGAGUUGUUUGGGAAUGCAGCUNUAAGGGGGUGGUAAAUUUNAUCUAAAGCUAAUUACUGGCCGGAGACCGAUGGCGCACAAGUAGAGUGAUCGAAAGAUGAAAAGNACUUUGAAAAGAGAGUUAAACUNNAUGUGAAAUUGUUGAANGGGAAGCGCUUGCGACCAGACUCNCUCGCGGGGUUCACCCGGUCUUCNGGCCNGUGUACUUCCCCGCGGGCGGACCNCCGUCNGUUUGGGCGGACGGUNAAAGGCCCUNNGAAUGUAACGCCCCCGGGGGCNUCUUAUAGUCNAGGGUGCCAUGCNGCCAGNCCGGACCGANGAACGCGCUUCGGCUCGNACGCUGGNAUAAUGGUCGUAAGCGACCCGU
rnacentral:rRNA from 1 species